GUUGCAAUGUUUUGGAACACGUUUUCAUGUUGAUAUGACGUGUAAAACAAGACGGACUCAAAAUAACGCUAAAGCAUAUACUAAUGCUCAGUGUUUCUAUAGGUACCUCAGCUAAAUGGGGGGCAGGGUUCCCACGGGUCCUUAAAAUCCUUGAAAGUUUGUGAAUUUAAGAAAAAUAAUCAAGGCCUUAAGUUUUUGAAAAUAGACAUUGGUAAUUGAAAGUGCUUGAAUUUAUAUAUUUUGUGCAAGAAUAGAAAUUAAAGUUCUUUAGAUUUCUAUUUAUUUACUUAUCAGUAAUAGGCUAAGUUCCGUUGUCUGCAUGUGUCUCCCACCACCUGUGCGUCCUUGUUUCACGAGCCACCUACUUCGAGAAAGUGCGACCGUUACGUGCAUGAGUGAUUGAGCAAGCGACAAAGCAAGCGACAAAACUGACGUUAAGCGGAACUUCAGCUAUGCCUGGAAAAUGUAAAUUCCAGGACUCGUGGCUCACCAAAGAAAUGUACAAAGACUGGCUUGUUAAAGAUCCGCAAGGCAUCUCUAUGGCCCGAUGCAGAGCCUGCAACAAAUCAAUAAAAGUUCACGCCAUGGGCGACACAGCUGUGACGAGCCAUGCUACUUGAGCAUCAUACAGGACCGCACUCCGCAAGUUAUAAGCAGGUAAAUUCCUGUCAAUAAACUGUUGGGCUCCAAGUAUGAUGUCAAUGUGCCAGAAGAGAACAGGUUUCAUCCAAGCAUGCUCUCCCAAUAUUUAAAGCGUCUCAAGGUUAAAAUGGGUUUGCUUGUUGAUCUAACAAACACUACCGACUUCUACAGAAUGACCCCAACGAGAUCGAGAAUGAGGGUGUUAAAUGUGUGAAGCUUCAGUGCAAAGGGUACGUAUGAGUGACCUGUUUAAAACUCAAGAUUAAUUCUCCAUGUUUACAAAUGCCACUAGUUGAUUGAUCUGAUGUGAUGUGUUUGUUCCUUGUUUAACUAUGGAGAGGGUCCUUCAAUAGAGACUACUGAGAUGUUCAUCAGACUGUGAGCACUUCAUGGAGAAGACUACCACUGAUAGGUGUCCACUGCACGUACGGCUUCAAUCGGACAGGCUUUCUGAUCUGUGCAUACCUGGUGGAGAAGAUGGAUUGGAGGUUACACAUUAGGAGGCUUUGGAAGCAGCGGACACUGCAGAUGUGACAGUCCAGGCCUGGGUAAACUACGGCCCAAGGAGAUGAUUAUCGACAAGGUGAACGGCCAGCCCGUCCCGCACUACCUGAUCUAUGACAUCAUUAAACUCAACGGUAGGCCAGUGUGAUUUCAAUGUUCGGCUAUUGUGAAAAGAGAAAGAGAUCAUCUCCCCUAGGGUGGAGAAGAUGAAGACGGGACAGAUCGACAAGACCAAGGAGCCCUUCAGUGUCAGGAACAAGCCAUUCUUCGACAUCCACGCAUCACGAAAGCUCCUGGAAGGCCGCUUCGUGUCCCCGGUCAGCCAUGAAGUCAACGACCUUAUCUUUCAGCCUUGCGGGUCCUCGAAGGAGCUGAAGCAGUACGACAACAAGAUAAUUGAGUGGUCCUUUAACAACGACACCUGGGUGUUCAUGUGACACAGGGUGGACAAGAGCUUCCCCAACUCCUACGACACACUCUGUGUAACAGCAUCCAGCAUCCUGUCACAAAAGAAAACUUCUGAGUUUCUGGACCGCUGUGCCCUGGGGGCCCACAGACAGAACCGGAAACACCACCAUGACCCAGACACAGAGCUCAUGCCCCGUACUGCUCCAAAGAGACCCAACUGGGCCGCACCAUACAGCGGGGGUGGGCCGGGCCAGUGUAGCAGUGUAUCUAUGUGGCUUGCAGAGCGAGGUCCUUCAUGGCUACAGCCCGCCCCCUUCCUCCCCCUCAGAGACACAGACAUUUGAAAAACCCCUCUUAUCUGUGACCAUUUGAUUAUCAGCCUCUUACAGGCCCUCUUAACUAAAAAAUAUUGGAUUGAAUAACUUAUAGAUCCUGUUAGAUAUCCCCAUGUAGUGCCUUAGCUUUCAUUUCAGUGGUUCUUAUUAAAGAAAAAAUACAUAAUGGUGAAUUUUAUUUAUUUAUUCCCUUUUUUUAACGGUCUCCCAACUAAUCUAUUGAUCAACAACAGAGGAAUUGGUGUUUUAACUACGGCAGCAACUGACUAUGUUUUUCCUAGCUGUUUAUUUGUAUUUGUGAUGGCGGUAAUCAGAUGGGAAACAACCACCUGACCCCUCCUUUCUAUCUUUUCUCUCCCAGCAGUGAAGUGAAGGAAUGCACUAGCGAAUAUUUCAAAGGUAUUGUUUAGUAGCAAGAGAGAGCUAUUCCUCUGAGAUAUUCUUCUGACACACAGUGAUACAUCGGGUUGACAACAUGAAUAACCAUGACAAGAUGUCUCCACAGUAUGUGUGCAACAAACACACUCUGCCUCCACAUGACGUCACAUGACCAUAUCAUCAGACCCCAGAAUAGACUCGGUAACCGCUUGGGAAAUGUCAUGAUGGAAACACGCCUCUCCUUUGUUUUUUCUUCAAUGUGUGUACAGAAUAAUAACAUUUCAACACUUGCUUUAUUUGAACAGAUACCCCAAUUAAGGACUGCCCUAGUUCAUAACAGACUGGUUUACUCCUGCAUUUGUUGUUUGAUUGGAUCCAUUAAAACAAUACAUCAUGUGAAAGGGAAGGUACAGUGGUAAGAAAAAGUAUGUGAACCAUUUGUAAUUUCUGCAUAAAUUGGUCAU